UACGUAGGAUGCGAGCGUUGUCCGGAAUUAUUGGGCGUAAAGCGAACGUAGGCGGCCUGGUAAGUUUGGUCUUAAAGACCGGGGCUCAACCCCGGGAAUGGACCGAAUACUGUCAGGCUGGAGUACGCUAGAGGAUGGUGGAAUUCCAAGUGUAGCGGUGAAAUGCGUAGAUAUUUGGAGGAACACCGGUGGCGAAAGCGACCAUCUGGGGCGUUACUGACGCUGAGGUGCGAAAGCGUGGGGAGCAAACAGG
rnacentral:rRNA from 1 species